UAUUGUUUUCUUUGUGUAUCCUGCAAAAGCUCAAGUACUGGUGAUAAAGGGGAAAGGUAGAAGGGCGUGUCACCAACCACCCCCGAGUUUAGUACCAGAGAAAGCUUUGCAGUUCUGUGAUAAUGGGGAAUCAGCCCACAAAACUCACUGUUGACGAGCAGUGGCUAGAAAAGAAAUGUCCAGGCGCCGGACAAAUCAGUGCUUGUAGAUGAAGAAUUCCUAAGAAAACAAAACGUCCCAUUAUACAUUCACCCAUAUCAGGAGGAACAUAA